GGAAUACUGUGGACCAGACGUCUGAGGUGACUGGGGAGAGGUAUAGUGUGGACAUUUUCCUGGUGGAUGCUGUCCUCUACAUCUCCAGCACUGAACUGGGAUUUUCUCAGUAGGGUGGUUUGAGUAGGGUCUUUGUGAUGUGGCUUGAUGCUUAGGGCCCAUUCGACCACAAUCAUAACGAAGCUGUUGCUCAUAAUCUCUUUCCAGUUGAUGUCCUAAUUUUACCAGCUCUUCCACAGUAUUUACUCGGCUACGCAAUUGGCUGGCAAGUACGGACACGUUCAGCCAGUUCGUCCUCAUAAUCCUCAGAAAGGAAAGCAGAUAUGAAUGCAGUCUCAAACUCAAUCCAAGUGGUUAUGCUGGACCGUCUGACUUCCCACCAGUCUCGUGCUGUUCCGUACAAGACAGUACGGAAGGUAGCCAGGAUGUCUGCAUCUGUCAGGGGAUGUACAGCCAAAAAAUCCUGACAUUUAGUUAGAUGUUAACAGAGGGGUUGAAGAAGUUGAAAGAGUCACUGGAGCAAAAGGAGAUGGCUGGGAUGAAAUACUGGUAGUGCUGGGACCUGGUGCUGUCAGUACACUUAAUUUUUGUUGAUCUGCACUUUUUUUAACACUUUGAAAUCCUUUCUCCACUUCACUUUUCAACUCUUUGAAACCGUAUUUUGAACAGCUUUGAUGUCCUGCUGAACCUCUGCUUGGAGUUGAUCAACCAUGAAUCGUAGUUCGGACACCAAGCAAGAUCAGCAAUCUGGCUCUGGUGCUGAGAAGAGGUAUCUUUCACUUCCUGGGAGUUGGUAGAAUGUUGGGCAGGUCAUGUUGUGCCACUGACGAAGGAGUUCCACCUUCAGAAGAGGUGCAAAGUUGCAUGUUAUCCACUUGUGUUGCCCAGGUGAGAGUUUGUACUGGAGUGCUCCCAGCCAGAGCAGGAGAGGACAUGUGCACACGGGUUCCAGGAUGAACAGAACUGAGUGGAGUGGGGGUAUGGUAGAACACCGGAGCAUAUGGAGGUUGUUCCAGAGGCAUCCCUGGUCGCAGUGCAGGCGGCCAUACUGGAGUUGAGAUGUCUGGUGGAGGCUCAAUUUCCACAAAAGUAGUUUGGGAAGGAGGGGUAUGCGCCAUGAUUGCUGUGAUUGAGUGUAAGAAUGUUGAGUGUGAAAAACAAUAAAUAUCAGUAAAUGAGAUGUGUAUCAGUGUGUUUGUCCCUGAAAUAUUUCUACUAAACAACAGAAUACAACUUUUCACAACUGUUCAAUCAGUAUUAUCUCACAACCACUAGGUAAAUCAAAACAAUAAGUAUUCAAAGUAAUUCACCUUCACUUAUUUCAAAUAUUCAAACAAUUAUCAAUUACUGUGACACCUUAGAGAUAACACCUCUAAUUGUUCAUUUAGCGUUCACAGUUUAUACAAAAAAAAAAACAAUUUUCACAAGCAUAAACAAUUUACAAGAUUAAUUCAGACAGUUUCAUUGUUUCACUAAUUUUCCAAAAAAGAAAAAAUAUAUAUAUAAAGUUUUCAAAUCAAUGUUUCAGAGGUGCAUUUUUUUUUUUAAAGUGUUCAAUAGUUCACAGGGAUUGUCAAAAUCAAAAAACUCAAGUUUCAAGUGUUAAAGCAGGUUUCAGUUCAGGUCCCUGUUCGGGCGCCACUCUAUAACGGUGGUAGCCGCCCUAACUCAAAUACUAUUUUAAAGAAGAAAAAAAAACCUUCGGGCGCCAGACAGGAUUAAACCUAUCAAAAAUUAACUUAACCCCGGAUAGCAGGAAAAUAACCACCUGUUACACAACAAAUUAUAAUAAUAAUCCCAGACUAAAAGGUCAUCAGGAUAUUUAUUCUUCCAUAUGUUCAAAAUCAUAAUAACACAGAAAACUGAAAUGGACAACAAAAUAAAAAACAAAAAAAAACAAAAUAAGCAAUGACCACACGUUCCCACUAGCGGUCUCUGGUCUUCGAAAUCCGUGCCCGUGCCAGAAACCGACCGCGUCACGC
ensembl:lncRNA